rnacentral:lncRNA from 1 species
CACAAGUUGAAUAUGGACAAAAUUCAAAACAUCUUCCGUACAAACACUUCCCACUACUCUGAGGAAGGACAGCAGCACAGCAGGGAGGAGAGGAGCCACAUAUAAAAGAGAGGCUACUGUUCACAAAGGGGGAGAGAGCCGAAAAACCCUAAUUCCUUAGAGUAGCCGCCACUGAUCACUAACAAGGAAGAGAGAAUUCUGCAAGAACACAAAAGAGCUGACUGUUCACACAAAUAAAAUCCUACCGUUGAACCACCCACCCCAAAUCUCAUUUUUCCAACAACCAUCGCAUCUUCCACCUUGGCUCUCAUUAUAUCCAAACAUAACCACCAU